rnacentral:lncRNA from 1 species
UUGGAAUCACAGAAUCUGAGUUGGAAGGGACCCACAAGGAUCAUUGAGUCCAACUGCUGGCUCCACACAGGACCACCCAAAAAUCAGACCCUGUGUCUGAGAGUGUUGUCCAAACUCCGGCAGGCUUGGUGCCAUGACCACUGCCCUGGGGAGUCAGUCCCAGUGCCCGACCACCUCUGGGUGCAGAACCUUUCCCUAACCCCCAGCCUGACCCUCCCCUGUCCCAGCUCCAUGCCGUUCCCUCGGGUCCUGUCGCUGUCCCCAGAGAGCAGAGCUCAGCGCCUGCCCCUCUGCUCCCCCCGUGAGGGAGCUGCAGGCCGCCAUGAGGCCUCCCCUCGGCCUGCUCUGCUCUGGGCUGAACAAACCCAGGGACCUCAGCCACUCCUCAUAUGUCUUGCCCUCUAGGCCCUUCACCAUCUUUGUAGCUCUCCUUUGGACACUCUCCAAUAGUUUUGUGUCCUUUUCAUACCAAGAUGCUCCAAACUGCACACAGUACUUGAGGUGAGGUUGCACCAGCACAGAACAGAGCGGGACAAUCACUUCCCUCGACCAGCUAGCUAUGCUGUGCUUGAUGCACCCCCGGGUAUGGUUGGCCAUUUUGGCUGCCAGGGCACACCAAUGACUCCUGUUCUACAUGAGCACGUCAAGGUCUGUAGAGAGGCAAUAUCCUUUAUGCAUAUGGUUACUGCUGCAAAACCAGCAACACGUACAAGGUGCAGCUCUAACAUGAGAUGUGAAAACUGCAAGCUCUCCAUCUGUCCAUUGCCUUCAGAGCCACCGCUUAUAGAUAUCUCCCCCUAUGGCUGUUUUUUCCUUGAUACUGGAGGAAAUUUGGAGGAAGGAGACCUUGAGCCAACAUUCGAAUCACUCAUCUUCUCUAUCUCCCCUGCUCUGGAGGGAGGCAGGCAGAUAUGUAGACCUGCAGUUGCUUUGCCUUUGUACACCUGUGUCAAAAACCACCUGCCGAGUGAUGGCUAGUCCAGAUUUGCCUUUUUAACCACUCCAGACUGAGGGACAGUGUAAGCAGCACAGCAGAACAGUCCUGGGAUUGCUGUUUCAUAGGAAACAGGCUUCAGUGUAGUGGAAGGAAAUGCUAGACCCAUUUAACCAAAUGCUCAAUCUUCAAAGGCAACUCUAAGCAGAGAAUUCUCCUGCUUAUGCAGAUACA